rnacentral:rRNA from 1 species
GGUUAAAAAGCUCGUAGUUGGAUCUCGGCGGACUGAGGGCGGUUUGCUUGCUAGUAUUACUGCCCUAUAGUCCGUAGUUUUGCCAGAGGUUUCGGGGUGCUCUUAAUCGAGUGUCCCGGGAUGCUGGCAGGUUUACUUUGAAAAAAUUAGAGUGCUCAAAGCAGGCUAUUACGCCUGAAUAUUCGUGCAUGGAAUAAUAGAAUAGGAAGUCGUUUCUAUUUUGUUGGUUUUCGGAAAUCGACUUAAUGAUUAAUAGGGACAGUCGGGGGCAUUUGUAUUCAAACGACAGAGGUGAAAUUCUUGGACCGUUUGAAGACAAACUACUGCGAAAGCAUUUGCCAAGAAUGUUUUCAUUAAUCAAGAACGAAAGUUAAAGGUUCGAAGGCGAUUAGAUACCGCCCUAGUUUUAACCAUAAACGAUGCCAGCUAGCGAUCUGCGGACGUUUUUUUUGUAGACUCCGCAGGAAGCUUCCGGGAAACCAAAGCAUUUGGGUUCCAGGGGAAGUAUGGUUGCAAAGCUGAAACUUAAAGGAAUUGACGGAAGGGCACCACCAGGAGUGGAGCCUGUGGCUUAAUUUGACUCAACACGGGAAAUCUCACCAGGCCCGGACACUGGAA